rnacentral:rRNA from 1 species
UACGAAGGGUGCAAACGUUGCUCGGAAUCAUUGGGCGUAAAGCGCACGUAGUCGGCUUUGCAAGUCGGGUGUGAAAUCCCCGGGCUCAACCUGGGAACUGCAUCCGAGACUGCAUUGCUAGAGUAUGGGAGAGGGAAGCGGAAUUUCUGGUGUAGCAGUGAAAUGCGUAGAUAUCAGAAGGAACAUCAGUGGCGAAGGCGGCUUCCUGGACCAAUACUGACGAUCAGGUGCGAAAGCGUGGGGAGCAAACAGG